rnacentral:rRNA from 1 species
AUGAACGCUAGCUACAGGCUUAACACAUGCAAGUCGAGGGGCAGCAUGAACUUAGCUUGCUAAGUUUGAUGGCGACCGGCGCACGGGUGAGUAACACGUAUCCAACCUGCCGAUGACUCGGGGAUAGCCUUUCGAAAGAAAGAUUAAUACCCGAUGGCAUAAUUCUUCCGCAUGGUAGAAUUAUUAAAGAAUUUCGGUCAUCGAUGGGGAUGCGUUCCAUUAGGUUGUUGGCGGGGUAACGGCCCACCAAGCCUUCGAUGGAUAGGGGUUCUGAGAGGAAGGUCCCCCACAUUGGAACUGAGACACGGUCCAAACUCCUACGGGAGGCAGCAGUGAGGAAUAUUGGUCAAUGGACGAGAGUCUGAACCAGCCAAGUAGCGUGAAGGAUGACUGCCCUAUGGGUUGUAAACUUCUUUUAUACGGGAAUAAAGUGAGGCACGUGUGCCUUUUUGUAUGUACCGUAUGAAUAAGGAUCGGCUAACUCCGUGCCAGCAGCCGCGGUAAUACGGAGGAUCCGAGCGUUAUCCGGAUUUAUUGGGUUUAAAGGGAGCGUAGGCGGACGCUUAAGUCAGUUGUGAAAGUUUGCGGCUCAACCGUAAAAUUGCAGUUGAUACUGGGUGUCUUGAGUACAGUAGAGGCAGGCGGAAUUCGUGGUGUAGCGGUGAAAUGCUUAGAUAUCACGAAGAACUCCGAUUGCGAAGGCAGCCUGCUGGACUGUAACUGACGCUGAUGCUCGAAAGUGUGGGUAUCAAACAGGAUUAGAUACCCUGGUAGUCCACACAGUAAACGAUGAAUACUAGGUGUUGGGAAGCAUUGCUUCUCGGUGCCGUCGCAAACGCAGUAAGUAUUCCACCUGGGGAGUACGUUCGCAAGAAUGAAACUCAAAGGAAUUGACGGGGGCCCGCACAAGCGGAGGAACAUGUGGUUUAAUUCGAUGAUACGCGAGGAACCUUACCCGGGCUUGAAUUGCAACUGAAUGAUGUGGAGACAUGUCAGCCGCAAGGCAGUUGUGAAGGUGCUGCAUGGUUGUCGUCAGCUCGUGCCGUGAGGUGUCGGCUUAAGUGCCAUAACGAGCGCAACCCUUAUCGAUAGUUACCAUCAGGUUAUGCUGGGGACUCUGUCGAGACUGCCGUCGUAAGAUGUGAGGAAGGUGGGGAUGACGUCAAAUCAGCACGGCCCUUACGUCCGGGGCUACACACGUGUUACAAUGGGGGGUACAGAAGGCAGCUACACGGUGACGUGAUGCUAAUCCCUAAAGCCUCUCUCAGUUCGGAUUGGAGUCUGCAACCCGACUCCAUGAAGCUGGAUUCGCUAGUAAUCGCGCAUCAGCCACGGCGCGGUGAAUACGUUCCCGGGCCUUGUACACACCGCCCGUCAAGCCAUGAAAGCCGGGGGUACCUGAAGUGCGUAACCGCAAGGAGCGCCCUAGGGUAAAACUGGUGAUUGGGGCU